GAGGCGGGACCAGGGCGUGGGCGGAGCCAAGUCCGGGAAGCCGCAGGAGGCGGACUCAGCAGGCGGACUCAGGCGCCACACCCCGUGAAGGGGCAGAUGCAAUGGGAGAGUUUGCUGGCUUUGGCCCUUUUCCAAUCUUCUUGCCUUGAAUGUAGAUCCAGUAAUGCUGGAUCUUGGCAUUUUGCAACCAUGAGGCAACAAGAUUGAAGAUGAAAAGUCAACAGCUACCAGUGAAGAACAGGAAGAUGGAAAGCCUGAAUCAUCGUCAGCAUUGAGCUUCUGAACUAAUGUCUGUGAUCACCUGCCUUUGGCUUAUUAUGGGAGAAAAAAAAUAAACCCCUAUUGCUUUAAGUCACCA